UCUCUACGUUUGAGAUAGACGGAUCAUUACCGACGAUGAACAAGAAUGUGUUUCGAAACGAUGACCAGUCUUCAAACGCGCCCGAAAAUGAUCGGAUUUUCUGACGCGGCAACGCGUCAUUUGAUGGAAAAAUCGUUUCCUGAUUCAUUCGGAGAAGCUGUAUUUGACUUCUCAGCUUUGAGCUUUAUCAAAUAAUCGUUCAACAGGCUAUGCUGCUGCACGCUUCCUUAUAACGUGCUCGUGCGGUCUUUCGAACUUCGUCCACAAUUGAUCGAGAAGCGCUAAGCGGGUUUCGACGGCGUGGAGAGUGAUGUUGGUUAUCCCCAUCUUCUUUAAAUUAGUCACUGAUCUGGCCAUGCGACCGUGGAUGUCAUUCUGAGUGGUCAAUAAGGUAUAACGCGCACUGAACGUGAUGGUACUCUCGAAUGAGCAAUAAAAUCGGCGAAGGCAAAUCCGACUCGAAGGAUCAGCAAUGUUCGAGAGCGAAUCAAAGCGAGAGCGACAGCGAGAAAAAUUUGAGCGAGAGAAGGCGAUUUGAACUACAGUUCGACUUACAUGAAUCCUUGAUCACGAAUCCUUGAUCGAACGCGGAGGUUUUCUGGCUGAGUAUAGGCGAUUAUACUUUUUUCAGAGUGUUCUUUAAUCGGAAAAAGCGAAGAAGCGUUUAUUUGGCCGAAAAAAGACGAAAAAGCUUGAAUCGCAGAUCGAUUUGGCCUUUUAUUUCGUUGGUAGAACAAAGGCUUUCUUUUUUAAUCGCUUAUGAGAUUCUAGAAAAUUAUAAAAAUUGAAGUGACCCUCAUGAUUCAGGUCGAAAUUGACAAUUCUCGACCGCGAUGGCCAAGCGGUACGCUAUUGUCAUGCGCGCCCGCCAAAUCAGGAAUCCUGAUUGGGGUGUCGGUGUGUUACGCAUUUCGCGUCAUGCGAGCACGCGUGCGCUGUGACUAAUCUGACUGUGAUUGUCGUUUUGGCGGUUAGAAUUUUGUACGUAUAAUAUGC